rnacentral:rRNA from 1 species
CACACAGUAAACGAUGAAUACUCGCUGUUUGCGCUAUACAGUAAGCGGCCAAGCGAAAGCAUUAAGUAUUCCACCUGGGGAGUACGCCGGCAACGGUGAAACUCAAAGGAAUUGACGGGGGCCCGCACAAGCGGAGGAACAUGUGGUUUAAUUCGAUGAUACGCGAGGAACCUUACCCGGGCUUGAAUUGCAGAGGAACAUAGUGGAAAGAUUAUGGCCGCAAGGUAUCUGUGAAGGUGC